rnacentral:rRNA from 1 species
UACGAAGGGGGCUAGCGUUGCUCGGAAUCACUGGGCGUAAAGGGUGCGUAGGCGGGUCUUUAAGUCAGGGGUGAAAUCCUGGAGCUCAACUCCAGAACUGCCUUUGAUACUGAGGAUCUUGAGUACGGGAGAGGUGAGUGGAACUGCGAGUGUAGAGGUGAAAUUCGUAGAUAUUCGCAAGAACACCAGUGGCGAAGGCGGCUUACUGGUCCGGUUCUGACGCUGAGGCACGAAAGCGUGGGGAGCAAACAGG